UCACUUCCCACCCCAGGAGCCUGUGCAACCAGUCAGAGCUUUUCUGCCGACUUCCCUGGGCCCAGAAGGGGAGAGAGUGGCAGGGACUGGAUGGGCUGCAGGCACGCAUUUCCCUUCCAAGGCAAGGAACUUAUUUGAGAGAUGAGGUUUAGAGGCUGCAUUAUCAACCAAGGAGACCCCAAAUUGACUGGAAAAUACAUGGUGAAAUAAACCCCACCAUGACAUCCUCCACCUCUCAGCUGGAGACCAGCAGACACAGCUGGCAAGGGAGCCAAGAGGCACCCAAGACGCAAAAUGUGAGUCCAGCACUCCCUAAUUCCAUCUCUCACCCAUCCAGCUGCUCAAUUAAAUAUGAAGAGGUGAGAAGUGCCUCUCUUCAGCCCAGUCAGAGCCAUCAGCAUGGCACACCACCAUCAUCCAGAGAUGGAUCCCAGAGACUCAUGGAGGGAAGCAGCAACUUCAGCCCUCAGGGAAGAGCACAGUGACCGCAUGGCCGGGAAUCCCAAAGCCAGCAGACAAUGUAACCAUCCUCCCCGGCUCAGCGCCGGCUGACAAACGGGAAUAAACCCAACCGAGCCAUCCACCUCCCUGCCCUGGCAAUUAUACUCUGAGAGAAAGGUUCAAAGCACUAUUGUGAUCAAUUAAAUCGAAAAAAAAGAGCAGUGUCAGCUUGCAGCCCUGGGAGGAUCCAGCCCUUUACUGAUCUCUGAAUUAAAAACGCACAUCACAGCGUGCACAACGUACAGUUCCUGCGGGGAAAAAAGAAAAACCCUUUUUCUAGGCAGAAGCGUUCAGCACUCAGGAGACACAAAAAGCCACGUACUGAGCCUCUCCUUGCAGGGAGAGGGGAAACCAGCGGCUCAGCUUUUGGGGAGAAGAGGGAGGGUUAUCUAUUAUCCUUCCUUCCAAUGCAUCGGAUCUGCUGGAAAACCAAGCAAGCAGGGAGCAGAAAUCCAGGCUGGCAACUUGCACUCGACGGGCUGUUAAUCACUCCCGCUCCAUUCACAGCAGAAGUCUUGCAUGAAGGUCUCGCCUCCAAACAGUCCCCACACGUCCGAAGGUGAGCCAAGAGUCAGAUUAACAUGAAAGGGGCUUUGCACUGGGAAAUGCCACACCAGAGAAUAAUGUUCUCCUGGGAUGGAGAUAGCAGCUGGAUUUUGGGGGAAGCCACAAGAGCUGCAGCCUCAGGCAGGCAAGCAGCCUACACCCUGCUUCUGCUCUCAAACAUUCCCCCUCACCUGCCCAAGUCACCAACUUGCCCAUGUCUCAGUUUUCUUAGCCAUCAAAUUGGGCAAGAGGAAAAAAAUCUGGCUAAAUACGGCUUGCCUCCAUGAAACACUGAUAUUUCAGGGGAUUAAAGAAGUGUGUGAGUGUUUGAUGAAGGACUAAGAUUGCCACCUGCUAAAACAAAAUGCCCAUCUGCCACAUAUUCAUAUGGUUGUUCUUUGUGCUACCUCCUCAUGGGAAUAGUCUUGGGAAGAAAAAACAAAAGAGUCUUUUUCCCUAACCUGCAUCUCCUUGUCCACGUGCUUUUGGGGUGAAAAGAGAUCCUUCACCAUGCCAAACCAACAGGUGCCUGGACUUGUACCUAGCAAGUUCCAGCCCUGCCAUAUACUUGCACAUUAUGGUGCUCAUGGCACAGCCUGCCCGUGUUCCCCAACGUAAGUGGGAAUAUUCCUCUGGCUCUCUCCGAAAUGGGAGCAGUUAGGAUGGAACCAUUCUGCUGAGACCCUCACCUUCCUUCUGCUUUCGGUCCCUCUCAUCUCAUUUACACAUUUCCUUUCAAUCACUUCUGCAGAAAUGUUUCUUGAUGCCUGGUAAGCUGAAAUGGGGAAGUUGCCCGUGAAAUACACCAAGAAAUCUCAAUUAAAAAAAAAGAAGUGCCUGCCCUCCUUUCCACUGUCUCUUCAUUUCAAAACAGCUUGGUUUUUUUCCCUGCAGGUAUUUACUAAGCAUCACCUAACUGAUUAUGAACAACAAAAACCACAAAGCACAGACAUUGAUGCCACCCUCAC